rnacentral:rRNA from 1 species
CGACAACCCUAGAGAUAGGGCUUCUCCUUCGGGAGCAGAGUGACAGGUGGUGCAUGGUUGUCGUCAGCUCGUGUCGUGAGAUGUUGGGUUAAGUCCCGCAACGAGCGCAACCCUUGAUCUUAGUUGCCAUCAUUUAGUUGGGCACUCUAGGGUGACUGCCGGUGACAAACCGGAGGAAGGUGGGGAUGACGUCAAAUCAUCAUGCCCCUUAUGACCUGGGCUACACACGUGCUACAAUGGACGGUACAAAGAGCUGCAAGACCGCGAGGUGGAGCUAAUCUCAUAAAACCGUUCUCAGUUCGGAUUGUAGGCUGCAACUCGCCUACAUGAAGCUGGAAUCGCUAGUAAUCGCGGAUCAGCAUGCCGCGGUGAAUACGUUCCCGGGCCUUGUACACACCGCCCGUCACACCACGAGAGUUUGUAACACCCGAAGUCGGUGGGGUAACCUUUUGGAGCCAGCCGCCUAAGGUGGGACAGAUGAUUGGGGUGAAGUCGUAACAAGGUAACCAAGGGCGAAUUCGCGGC